AGCUCAAAUUUGAAAUCUGGCGUUUCGGCGUCCGAGUUGUAAUUUGGAGGGGCAUCUUCGGUGACGGUGCCGUCCUAUGUUCCUUGGAACAGGACGUCACAGAGGGUGAGAAUCCCGUGCUUGGGCGGUUGCCCGUUGCCAUGUGAAGUGCCUCCGACGAGUCGAGUUGUUUGGGAAUGCAGCUCAAAAUGGGUGGUAAAUUUCAUCUAAAGCUAAAUAUUGGCGAGAGACCGAUAGCGCACAAGUAGAGUGAUCGAAAGAUGAAAAGCACUUUGAAAAGAGGGUUAAAAAGUACGUGAAAUUGUUGAAAGGGAAGCGCUUGAGAUCAAACUCAGUCAUUGGUGAUCAGCCUGGCUUCUGCUCGGUGCACUUGCCUCUGUCUGGGCCAGCAUCGGUUCCGACGGCGGGAAAAACGGCCAGGGAAUGUGGCUCGGCAUCGCCCGAGUGUUAUAGACCUGACCUUUGCCGCCAGUCAGGGACCGAGGACCGCGCCUUCACGGGUUAGGAUGCUGGCG
rnacentral:rRNA from 1 species